AAAGCAGGUUGCAAUUACAGUGCUUCAUUUUGUGGAAGUACUGCCAUUAAUCCUGCUGAAAGAAAAGCUGUGUUAAUCGUUUCGGUUUCGCCUUUAUGGGGGUAAAACCAUAACAGAUGGACAUGGACAAUU
ensembl:snoRNA small nucleolar RNA, H/ACA box 69